rnacentral:rRNA from 1 species
GUAGGGAAUAUUGCGCAAUGGACGCAAGUCUGACGCAGCAACGCCGCGUGAGCGAUGAAGGUCUUCGGAUCGUAAAGCUCUGUCAGAGGGGACGAACCGUUCCGUGCUUAAUAAGCACGGGGCCUGACGGUACCCUCAGAGGAAGCACCGGCCAACCCCGUGCCAGCAGCCGCGGUAAUACGGGGGGUGCGAGCGUUGUUCGGAUUUACUGGGCGUAAAGGGCGUGCAGGCGGGUCGACAAGUCCUGUGUGUAAUCUCCCGGCUCAACCGGGAAACUGCAUGGGAAACUAUUGAUCUUGAGUGCGAGAGAGGAUGGCGGAAUUCCUGGUGUAGCGGUGAAAUGCGUAGAUAUCAGGAGGAACACCGGUGGCGAAGGCGGCCAUCUAGCUCGACACUGACGCUGAGACGCGAAGGCCGGGGGAGCAAACAGGAUUAGAAACCCGGGUAGUCC